GCUUAUUAUUCCAUUCAGCAUACAUCAGUUUAUUCUUUAAAGAGAAACAAACAUCUAUUUUUAUAACUGUUUUAGCACAUUAGCAAAGUUUUUGCUGAGUUUAACUGAGAUGAUGUAUAUUUUAUUUAUGCCAAAUGACUCAGUAUUUUCAUAAAUGGAAUCAUACUUAAGAUAUCUAUACAAUUCGAAAACACUACACACUGAUAUACUGUAAUGGUACAAUAUAUUAUUUUCUCCUAGCUGCUCUGUCUCAAACACGCUCAACCUCUCACAUAAGCACCGCACCCACAGGAACAGAGAGCAACAGUCUCCUUCUUCAGGCUCAAAUGAACACACACUUCGUUUUAAUAAGACUAGAACUGCUGUUAAAUAUUCCAAACUUAUCAAAAGAAAAAAAAAAUACAGUCCCAAGAUCCCCCUUAGUACUUUUAAAAAGUCCCGAUUCUAUUUCUUAUUAACUUGGUUUAAAAUACCAGAAUAAAAAUGUUGCAAGCUAAACGCUUGGGAGAAGCCGUGUGUAACUGAGGGAUUCUUUCCAUUGACGGAUGCUGCCGCAAAGGGAAGAGAGGAAAAGCUGAAGAAGGCGCAGGAUAACUUCUAAGUCUGUUUAAGCCUUGCUGGCAUUAUUUCUCUCCACAUCGCGCGCGCGCGCGCGCGCGUGCGUGUGUGUGUGUGUGCGAGAGAGAGAGAGAGAGAGAGAAGUUUGCCCGCUCUUCCCGAGGCAGAAAAUCGAGGAGGACCAUCUAUGCAGAGCCUAUUUUCAAACUGCAUUUGGAAAGCUGUCUUAUUAUUGAUUAGGGGGAGAAAAAGGGGUGGGAAUAGAACUGGGAAGAGAGGGGAGGGUCGUCAGGCAACUGGCUUAUUGCAGCUCAAGGCAUUUUCUUCCGGAAAGAUGUCCCACAACUGAGAUGCGGCGACAGAGGAAGUAGAAAGAUGGAAAACUAAGAGGGGGGGGGGGGAAGCCUUCGGAAGAAAUGAAGGCUUUGGAUAUUCUCGGGCUGCUUCUCCCUUCCCCCUUUAUUCUUCCUCCUCUUCUUGCAAGGACCAGAAAGGAUGGGCGAUCAGGCAAAUCUUGCGGUUUGCCGGAGGGCGGAUGCUAGAGACCACGCGCCAGAAUGUCACUUAUCCACGAGGAGCGCGGUGCAAAUGCCAGCCGAAUGCCGUCCCCCACCCCACCCCGCCUCUCUGAGUCAGCAGUCGCUCUUUUGCCUUGCCUUGCUUGCCUUUGUGCGUGCGCGCGCGUGUACUCUUUUGCGGGGGGGGGCUGGAGUGCGUGCGCGGCCGUGUUCAUGUCUCGGAGUAAGGAAGCCUGUCUGUCUGAAUGUGCGCGUGCAUAUUCAUGGGAGGUAAAACCCAGUCAGUGAGAAGCGAAGCUGAUCUGCAUCUUGAAACAAGGCUAAAUGAGUUACAGACACCAGACUCUACUUAAGUGGCCAGCGCCUUUGUGGCAUCUCUUUGGUUUUUAUUUCUUCUGCCGAGCAUCAUGGAUCUGUUCCUAAAGUAGACAUUAUUUUUCAUUCUUCAGAUAAGAUUAAAAUGCUGAAGGCAAGGGUGAAUCUUUUCAGCGCUCUGAUUCUGUUAUUAAAAAUCUUGGACCUGGACAAAAAAAAGAUGGGAAGCAAGGGUGUAUUUUGUUUUAUUUUUAUUUUGUAUGAAGAUUUUUUAAAAAAAGAUCAGAUGUUGUUCAAGUGACUUGGCACAAAGAAUAACAAGUUGUUGAAAGUCACUAUAAAUUUAGGAGGUGAAAAAUACUUGGGUGGAUUACAUUUUUUUAUACUAGAUAAAAAAUUCUAGUGUAUGAUAAUCUGAGAUGAUCGAUGGGAGUUAAAUAUAUUGCAAACACUUUCUUGUUCCAGAAAGCCUUUUAAGAUCAGAAUACGUAUGUUCAGGGCCCACUAUACAAAUGCUACUAGAGAAAUAAGGCUGAACCAUGGAUGCUUUAUUUAAGCUAUGGAAGAAAAGGAAGCAGAUUCUAAUCUAUAUGUAUUUCCUUUGACUUCUUUGGAAUGAAAGCCUUAUGCAUUAAAAAUAUAAUCUCUGUUGCCUCUAUGCAAUAGACAUAUAUAUUCUUUCCAAAAUAAUUGAAAGUAUAUUUUGACAGUAUUAAAGCUGCUUGUUACAUCUUCCAAAUCUACUGAAAUAAAAUAACUACAAAACCCAUUCUGAUUAAUUGAAGAAGAAUUCGACUGGAUCUUAUCAGACUUUUCCUAGUCCCUGAGACCCUAACUUGUGAGGUUUUUUAGUAACAAUCACAAGUCAGGCUCUUGGGACCUAGGCGGAGGGGAACCAGCAACUUUGGACUUUAUUGAUUAAUUUUAUCUGCAUUGUUUUUUGUUUUGGUUUUUUUGACCAAAGAGAAAAUUAUAUGAAAAGGAUGAACAUUUUGACUUUUUUAAAAAAGCAGUAUGCAUAGAUAUGUUAGCAUGUGCUGCAUAAAUAUAUAUUGUAUUUAUUGUAUUAAAAAUGAGUGAAAUAUUUAGCAGUCUGAAUUAGAAACUUCAGAUAUUUGAUACUUUGAUUUUAACCAGUAUUUUUAAUUUAUUUGUUAAUGUACAGCUUUAUUUAUAGGUUUUACCUCAGCUUCCUAUGUUCUACUUUUUUUCCAACAACUGCUACAAAAAAUCCAAAGUUUACAGGCUGAAACAAAGAGUUGUUUACAUAUCAAAAAUGUUCCAAAAAUGAUAUUUUUGAUUACAGUUGAUCUUUUUUCUUCUUUUAUUGUCCUUAUCCUAGAGAGUGAUUCAGUAUGUUGUUAUACUUCCUUCCAACCACAAUUAUACAGUGCACAGAGUAUUUAUAUUAAAGAAAUCUGACAUAGAAUUUGAAAAAUUGGAAGAGGCCAUUUAGGCCUUAGAAGCCAAUCUUGUGGUACAGAAAUAUAAAUGUAUGACACAAGAUUUAUUCUCUGCUUGGACAUGUCCAAUGCAGAGAACCAAUCACAGCUCUGGGCAAUUGUUUCUACUGCUCUUACUGUUAGGACAUUUUUAGCAGAAAUCUGUCUUCCUGGAAUAUUUUGUGUUCUGCCCUCUGGGAUAAUACAGCAGGUCUUGGCAUCAUCUGUCAUGACCUCCAAGGUACUCCUUUUAUAAUUCUUAGAGGAAGAACUUAUAAAAUCUCACUCUGUUAUUUUCAGCACAUUUUUCUAACCCAUCAAAAUUAUUUUGAAUUUUGUUUUUGUCUUCUAGGAUAUUAGCUAUUCUAUCUAAUUUUGUGUCAGUUGCAAAUUUUUUUUGAUUAAAAAAAUCCCUUAUGUCUCAUCUAAGUAAUUAAUAAAAAGGGGGGUAGUGUGAACCUUGUGGCACCUCACUUGAUACUUCUUCCCUGUUUGAUGAGAAAUUAUUAAUAAGUAAUCUUUGGCUAUGAUUUUUCAGCCAGCUAGGAAUCUAUUGAUAUUUCAUGACGUGCAACUGAUAUAAUGCAAUUACAACUCAUAAUGCAACUAAUUCAGUCAUAACCAAAAUUAUUCAAUUAAAUGUUUCUAAAUCUAUAUAGAAGACAAAACCAUUUUAUCACAAGAAAUGAGUAGUUAUUAUAUUUACACUCAUCUUAAUCUGAGGUAAUAUUUUUCUAAUGGAUGCCAAUUUUAGCAUUCAGCAAAAUAAACAAAAGUAUAAGAAUUAUUUGACAUUUUUAUCUUCAUGUCUUCAUCACAAGCCACUUGAUUUCACAAAUAGUUUUCAUAAUUUUAGUUAAGGAAUUUGAAGUUGCCCUGUAAAUGCUUUUGCUUAACUAUUGUUCCAUUUCUGGGAAGGAGGGAGACUAUGAGAUGAACAUAAUUGACUAUAGCUAAUGGAAACUUCCUACUGUGAAAAAUCAGAUGAAUUGUCCUAACAGUGUGGCCUAUUAUAAGCCAAACAGUAGAAUAACUAUGUGAACAAUAAACCAAUGUAAAAAACAUUUAGCACUUCAGCAUAAGUAAAAAUAAGAGAGACAAAGGAGACCCAUGAGAAAUGUGAAUUGAAACACAAUGUGACUUUCAUUCUUGUGUCCAAAUUUGAGACACAAAUGCAAAAGACCAGAGUUUACAUCAUGACAGUGCAAUUCACACUUCAUAAUUAUUGCAACCUUGCAAUUUGUACUGGAUGCUUAUGCCGUUAGCUUCAUAUUAUAUAACUGAUCUUUCACUGCUUCCUACAUAAUCCUUUCAAUUGGAAAUGUCAGGGACUGAAUCUGAGAUUCUAUGAAGUAUUCCUGAGCUAUAAGUAGAACUUUAUUCCAUUUUGAAAGAUUAGUACAGAUUUAUAAUAGUAUCUGUUUCAAUAACAUGAUUUCCACUAGACCUGCAGAGCCUGCAGAAUUACUGUCACAUGGUAAUUUUGUCAAGCAUCUCACAAAACAGAGCCAACUUAUUCCAUAUUAGCUGCAACCCCAUGUAGAACGCACUGCAGUACUCUAUAUUGCAUAGUAAUGGGGAGAAUCACAACUAGCAAACUAGGCAGAAUGGGACAAAGGCUAUCUGGCCAUGAAUUCCAUCUGCCCAUUCAGUAUUAGACUAAUAGGAAGACCCUUAAUUUGUGGACCUGCUUUCUCCGGACAAUGUUCUCUGAAGCCAUUGGCCACGAAAGACAAAGAACAGCUCCAUCUUGGUAGCAUCCAACUUUUGUUUUCUCCCUUCUAGAUUAACAGUUUUUAGGCACCAAACUGGAUGACAAUAUAUGAUUGCAUAUCACAAAUAUGUUGAUAAUGCUGCAUUCCAAAUUUUCCAAAGGACUUUAUGUAAAUACUAAACAAGAGGGAAGGAAAGAUCAAUCCCUUUGGCAUCCCAUGCAAGACCACUGCUAGGACAAUCUGUCAAUCUCACCACCACACCUUGAUGUGGUGUUACUGGCCAGCAACAACAUCCUAUGCAAAACAAUCACAAGGGGCCGGUGGAAUAUGCACCUGUUCUCAUCUCUCUAAAAGGAAAUUCACCUAAACAUUGUCACCAGCCAAGAGAUUGUGAAAUCAGUAAAUUAAUAAUACUUUGCCUCUUUUAUUAACUGCAUAAGCUGACUGUGUAUCCAUUUUUAAUUAGUCAUCUGUAGCCCUCAUCCAGUGAUGUUCCAGAACUUCAGAAGGUCCAGAAGCAUGUCAAAUUCACUGAACAUUUAGGAACAAACUCACUGAAAGUUCAAUUUGCCUCCUAAUGCCAAAGACUAACCAGGCAAUUUACAGAAAUGGCCUGGCAGAUCUCUGAAUCCAAGAGGCAUGUCUUGUGGUGCUCCUGGUGUACCUGAAGGCCUGAGGAAGUACUAGGUGGUAGUCAAUCCCAGUUUGACCAAACCUAGGAUCCAGCAGCCAGAAGAUUUAUGAAAGGGUGAUGUCACAGCCUUUUGAAAGAUGUUAAAGCAAAUAUUGCCCAAUAUUUAUUCAGAUAGAACAAAUACUAUCCUGAGAGUUGGCAAAAUGAAACUUGGAUACAAAACAAAGCAAAAUAAAGAUUAAGUCCUUUAUUGA